CAUCAUCAUUGUCAACAACAACAAGAAACUGGAACAGACCUCAUGAUGAGCAAACAGCUGGACCUGCUUCACUGGGUCAGUUUGCUUUCCUCAAAGCAUUAAAAGAUACACUUGAGGCAAAGGAUCCACAACUUUUGUCCCCUCGGAGAAAUGAUCUGUCACUGUAUGACAUCCUGAGCAGCCAAACAAUGUAUCCCUCAGCCAAACAAUAUACAGAGAUUUUAAGCCUGGUCAUACGCAGAUGUCCCUUCAUGCGGGAGAAAACUGGUUCAGG